UACGUAGGGCGCAAGCGUUAUCCGGAAUUAUUGGGCGUAAAGAGCUCGUAGGCGGUUUGUCGCGUCUGCCGUGAAAGUCCGGGCUCAACUCCGGAUCUGCGGUGGGUACGGGCAGACUAGAGGUGAUGUAGGGGAGACGUGGAAUUCCUGGUGUAGCGGUGAAAUGCGCAGAUAUCAGGAGGAACACCGAUGGCGAAGGCAGGUCUC
rnacentral:rRNA from 1 species